UACGAAGGGGGCUAGCGUUGUUCGGAAUUACUGGGCGUAAAGCGCGCGCAGGCGGCUAUCCAAGUCAGUGGUGAAAGCCCGGAACUCAACUCCGGAACUGCCAUUGAAACUGUUUAGCUUGAGGACGAGAGAGGUGAGUGGAAUUCCCAGUGUAGAGGUGAAAUUCGUAGAUAUUGGGAAGAACACCGGUGGCGAAGGCGGCUCACUGGCUCGUAUCUGACGCUCAGGCGCGACAGCGUGGGGAUCAAACAGG
rnacentral:rRNA from 1 species